AAAAAAUGUCUUCAAUAACAGAAAUUUCCGUCGUUUAUAAAACUGGAAUGAAUUUAUUUAUUUAUAGAAAAUAAGAACACUAUUAAAAAAAAGGCAAUUAUAAUGGAAAUUAAUAAGCAAAACACAUGAACACUAGAAAUGAACCACAGAGGUUUAAGCUUCUGAUUACAGGUAACGGUAUAAACGAUCAAAGCAAUAAAACACAGUUAACCAGCUAUUGUUUGACUUGCAACUCCGACUCUCCUCCUCCUUUUUCUUCAAUUCACGAGCUUUGUUCGGAUACCCCGUUGCAUGAUCAUCCUUCUCCUUCUGAACAAAGACAAUGCCACCUUUACACUGAUCUUCCAUGUCCAUGAUAGCAACCGGUUUUGAUGAUCUGCUGGUCGAGCUGCUAUGCAAUUGCCUGAAACUGAUGGCCUUGUUAUUUGCUACUAUAUUUUCUUUUAGCUGUUAGUUUACAUAAAAGGCAACAUGAGUUUGGCUAAAUAGAAUAUUAAUUAAACUAUUAAUCAGUUUGGUAGAUAAGAAUGUAUGACUAAUGGGAUUUCUUUU
rnacentral:lncRNA from 1 species